CCAGCAUCCCUGCCCAUCCCGGGGCCCGGGUUCCGUCCCAGGGCGAUGUCGCCACUUCCGCGGGGAGGAGCCGCAGCGGGUGGUGCUGGGGCCGGCGGGGAGAGGCUGAGAUUGUCUGCAAACCGAAGUGAGCUAAUACUUCUUGGUACUUUGAAAUCCAGACAAGAUGAAGAUCCCCUCUUUUCUGCUGAGAUUCCCUCAUUGUUAUUUUUCUAGAAGAACUUACCUCACAAACUUUCAAUCCACCUCCAGAGCAGAUUUCUUGUGCAUUGAAUCUUGUACACCAGUGUAUCACUAUCGUACAAAAUGGAUAUGUUCAUCGGCCAGUUUGAGGAGAGAGCUGUGUCAACAAGUAGCCCCUGACCAGCAGAUAGAGGAGCUUUCUGACAGAGAACAAAGACUCAUAGACAGACUUUACAGUGGACUGAUCCAAGGUCAUAGAGCCUGUUUAGCAGAAGCCAUUACACUUGUAGAAUCAACUCAGACCAGGAAGAAGAAAAUAGCCCAGGUGCUCCUUCAGAAGGUAUUAUCCUACCACAGGGACCAAGAAAAGUUAAAUCAAGGAAAACCACUUGCCUUUAGAGUUGGAUUAUCUGGUCCUCCUGGUGCUGGGAAAUCAACUUUCAUAGAAUGCUUUGGGAAAAUGCUUACAGAAAGAAAAUACAAAGUGUCUGUGUUGGCUGUAGACCCUUCCUCUAGUACAAGUGGUGGUUCUCUGUUGGGUGAUAAAACGAGGAUGACUGAGUUGUCAAGAGACAUGAAUGCAUACAUCAGACCAUCUCCAACCAGAGGGACACUGGGAGGUGUAACAAGGACCACAAAUGAAGCCAUUCUGCUGUGUGAAGGAGGAGGCUACAAUGUUGUUCUUGUGGAAACUGUAGGUGUGGGACAGUCAGAAUUUGCUGUGGCUGAUAUGGUUGAUAUGUUUAUAUUACUGCUUCCACCUGCGGGUGGAGAUGAAUUACAGGGUAUCAAACGGGGUAUAAUUGAGAUGGCAGAUCUAGUUGCUAUAAAUAAAGCUGAUGGUGAUUUAAUUGUGCCUGCACGGAGAAUACAGGCUGAAUAUGUUAGUGCUCUGAAGCUGCUUCGCAAACGUUCAAAGGUUUGGAGACCACAGGUCGUGCGCAUCUCUGCCAAAACUGGAGAAGGUAUCUCAGAUAUGUGGGAUAAAAUGACAGAAUUUCGUGACCUCAUGCUCACCAGUGGUGAGUUGAUUGCCAAACGACGGAAACAGCAGAAAGUGUGGAUGUGGAAUCUCAUCCAAGAAAAUAUGUUGGAACAUUUCCGGAGUCACUUAGCAGUCAAGGAUAAGAUUCCACUUCUAGAAGAGAAAGUUCUUAGCGGUGUCUUGUCUCCUGGGCUGGCAGCUGACCUGCUACUGAAAGCAUUCAAAGAUGGUCUCUAAGCGUUAGAUUCUACUUUGUUCUUGUUAAGUGCUUUAUGUAAACAUAAGCAUUAAAUACAGUUUUUCUGUGUGUGGAUUUGAAUGUUUUACUACAGCAGACAUAAAUAGAACACCUGUCCAGUACUGUGCAAAAAAAAAAAUACUGCAGGAUUCUGUAUAUCUGAAGAACAUGAAAAAUCCACUCACUCAGAGAUUGCUACAGACUAUAUUGGAAAAAAGUACAUUUGUAAGUCUUCUAUUUGUACAUGCUGUAGAUCUGUUGGUCAAAUAUGCAUGCCUGUCUCAAAAGUGAGCAAUUUGGGGAGGGUGGGAGAGAAAGGUUUGCAGUGGUGCAGAGUUCUGUUCCAAUUAUGGGACCAUCUUAGAGCAGUUGAUACUGCAGCUUUCUAUUCUAAUAUAGUAUCAGCUGUUGGAUUGCUUUUUCUUUAUACACCUUGAGUGACAGCAGGAACAUUGGACCCCCUGGCAGGACCUAACCACAGUCUUAGUUUAAAUAAAUUGUAUGCGUAUAAAUAGAAUAUAGUGAUGUUUGGUCCCUGUUUGGAAGCUAUACUUAGUUAUUACAUGCUGUAUACUAGGACAAUGGAGUUUUAACCAUCCCAAUUUCUAUGUUUAAUACAAAAGCAAAAUUUAGUCAAGACUUCUUUUUAAAUGCAGACAUCAAAUGGAACAGAUGUUAUCCAUGACAUAUAUGACAUCUGUGAUGACGUACAGUAGUAAAUGUCUUUAUACUAGAAUAAUUGAUUCCUAUUAAUAAUGGUUUGAGGUUUUCUGAUCUGAUUUAUGGUUUUUGGAUUAAAACAAAAAGUCCAGUUGUGUUUGGGUUUGUUUCCACCCCUUCCACCUUGUAGAAAAUGUGACUGCUUACAACCAAAACUGCUUCUUUUUUUAAAAUUUCCUUUGAGUACAAAUCUAGAGGAUGCAUUUACCCAAGCUGCGAUCAAGAAAGUAGAGCUUAUCUGGUACCUACUAAAUAUGAGGGAUAAAGUGGAAAAAUGCUGAUUUUUGGAAGCCUGGAAGAAACCCAGUAAAAUAGCAGGAGAUCUUGUGAGUCCUCUUGUUUGCUUACAUGAAUUGACUUUAAAAAAAAACAAAACAUUGGAAGUGAUGGGUUUUGUAGUAUUGAUAUUCUAGACACAGACAAAAUGACACAGUGUCUUUAAUCUUUAUUUUAGCUCAGUUUCAUCUCUUUGUCUUCCCAAGAUUUGUAUAUAUUUCACAGCAUUUGAAUUCUGGCAACCCGAGUCUGAAUUUUUGAGACAAUUCUGAGAUAGCAGUGAAUUAUUUUACUUAGAUCUACUCUUCUUUUUUCUUUGUUUUUUUUUUUUGUUUUGUUUUUUUUUUUUAAAUCCAAGGUGAUUUAUUUCCUCUUCCUUCCUCUCAUCCUGGUUGUUAUAAUGUGUUCCCAAUUAAGUUUACUUUUUCCUGCCAGACCUCUGUGCUUCAGAAUUUUCAUUCCUGUGUAAGAGUAAUUUGGCAGCUGUCAGAAAGAUGAAUGAUUGUUGAAAAUGCUGAGGAUUUUGUAUCCCUUGGUUUGUCAAAGUGGUGCAAAUUAAACAAUGCAGAAGAAACCUCCAUCCACAGUUCUAGCAUUUCAGUUAUUUUUCACACUGUAUGAUGAUGUCUAUAUAGUUGUCUGUGUACUCUAAAAAUAUGAAGUAUGACCAGAAAGUAAAAGGCAAACUGCAAGGCAAAGUAGAAAUACUUUGCAAUUAAAAGCAAUGAUCCCUAUGUGUAUUUGUAGUGAAAUAUUAACAAGGACCAUUGUAGUGUUUUGUGAGACACAGCCAAAGCAUUUAUUAAGAAAUUUUGUACCAGUAUAGCUGGUUUCCGCCACAUAAAUUAUUAGAACUUCAAUGCUCUGACUUCUUUAUUUCUGUUUAUAAACUUUGUAUCCCAAAUGAGUAAGUUGGGUUUGCUGCAACCUGUUAUGCAGAAGUAGCUGAAGGAAUGUUAGGGGGUGGUAGAAUCACAGACACUUCAUUAAGACCAUGCUGAAAAAAUGUAGCAUUUAUAUAUAUUUUUUUCCUAUUGAAAAAACAGUCUUUAUUGAAUAUGACAGAAAGUGCCCCAAACCAAAAGCAAUGUCUUCUAUCCUUUCUGCUUUAAAAAUUAACUGUGUUUUGAUGGUACCUAAUAGAAGAAAUGACAGUCAGGUGGAAAAUGAAUUAAUGAGAGCAGCAGAAUUUUAACUGGUGAGUUCUCAGUUAUUUGAUAGUCCAUUUAUUUCAGGUGACAGUUUUUCAGGGGACUUGAUUUGUGCUUAUUUGUUAGCUCAAACCCUUAUUAUUGUCAUUACCUUUGUCAGGGGCUGCUAUUUUCCUUGUCUGUUGUACGUGAGCUGUCAAGCAAGUAAAACAGCACCUGCAGCUUUGUGUAAAUGAUGCCUACUCAAGCAGGAUACGGUUUACCACUUCUUCAGGAUGUUUAAUGGAUGCAAAUCUGUCCAUCCACCUAGGCCACUGGCCAUCAUUGUUUUCUCAUUUUGCUGCUUCUUCUCAAGUGUCAUUAAUUUACUAAUGAACACUUUGCAGAAGAGAGUACAAUGGCUUAAGCUAUUUCUACUUUUCAUUCGGCUGCAUUUUCUUCUGAAAGUAGAGCAUUGAUGAAAAUUAGUUUGCUUUCUUUGUGUAUUCAUUUGUGCCUCAUACUUCAAUAGAUAGAGAAGUACACUUAUACUGAAAAGGGUCUUUGGAAAUGGCACAGUAUGUAGGGGCCCUGCUUUGUUUUUCAGUGAGUCCCCAACCCAACUGAAAAGCUGUACUGCGCAAACUAUAACCUGAGCCUCACACGCGAGACUGUAUCGUUCUGUUAUAAUGUGUUGCUUUAAGUGGCAGAAAGCUUUUCCUUGAUAUCUAAUCUGGCCUCACCUUUUGUAAGUGAAUUACUUCCUGUUAUGCACACCUGUUCAGUCUUGAAUAUUCUUUUUGCAUAUAUUGUUUCUUUAUUUGUGAAAUCUGCAGUGUCUUGUCUCUCUGUUGGUGGGUCUUGAGAUUUUUGGACUGGAGACUGAGCUAAGGAAUACUAAUGAACUCUUUUAUUUUUCAACCUCAUGCAGUUUCCUGAAGUUUUCUUUCUUAAUGUGGCAAAAGACUAUUGACUUGCUCUGUACUGGUGUAAAAAUACUUCUUUCCCCUUUUUCCCUUGUGCAGAGUGCUCUGUUGCUUCCCUCUUGGAUGCACAGUCAAGAAGUAACAUUAUCCCUGAGUUAAAAUGAGAAACAUUUUACAGAGCUUAGUCCUUCCACAAGUAUUUCCGCUGGACUGUUCUAAAACAGAUAUCAUUUGAAGAAUGAUCGAACAGAAGUUGAUAAAACAUGUAUUUAAAGAAAAAUCUGUGUUCCUCUGGAACUUAUGAUUUGGACAAUCAACAGUGCAGGCAACAAACAACAGGGUUCCUCUUCCAAAACCUAGUUCGGAUACUCCAUAGUCACAUUCCUUGCAGUUAAUUUAAAAUAGCCCACCCGCCUCAUAUUAGAACAUUAACACAAUUUAGGGAUUGAGAAUAAAAAAAUUCAAAUGAAACACUCUUAAGCAAUUGUAGUACAUAUUUAGGAUGAAAAUAUGAUAGGCAUGCUAGUUUCCCUGCUGCCACACCAAGGUAUGGUUCAGCUGGUGAACAAACAGGGUAAAGAGCAGCUGACAUUCAUGGUGGUCUAUGGAGAAGGCAGAUUAUGGGGCAGCAAAAAGAAUGUCUAUUUUUCUCUUUUUCUUACAUGGGAGCGUAAGAAUUAUCUUAGACAAUUUAGUGGUGAGCCACAGAAAUUGAUUUGAUCCAUAGUAUUUGCUGAAUGAAGUUAAAAAAAUGAUUAAUUCAAUUCACUUUUCUGUCUUUUGGAUUUUUAUGUUACAAGGGACUAGUCUAAUACAGACACUUGUCCUUUGGGACUUGGUGGUUUUGUUUAUAAUAAUGCUGUAAGUCGGAGGAAAUCUAGAAGUCCUUGUAGUCUGAGUAGAUGAUUGUUCAUUUCUAACAAAGAAGUCACAAGCUUCACUUUUCUGAAUGUGUGAUGAGAUUCCUAUAUUUUUCCUUAAAAUAUAAUGGCAAAGUGAGUUCCUGCUGUGUGUUACUGUGUCUUCGUUUUCUCUUCAGUUUAGAUCUCUUUAACUGUCAGUGUAAAAAAACUGUAGUAUAGUUAUACACUUUUUCUAAUUAAUCAAAUAUUCAUAAAGUUAAUCAGGGAUUAACAAUAUUUUACUUUGUUUCUUCUAUUGCAAGUGACUAUUGUAACCUGAAGAUUAUGACCUAUUAUAACCUAAAGGCUAUUAGAACUUCAGGUGAAUGAGCUGACCUGUACCGUAGCAGACUGCAAUGGCUGGGGAUGUGCAAUGUACAUAUAAUAAGAUAUGCAUUGACUGCAUGGCUCAUAGCAUUAUAAAGCUGCUCUGCUAAAGGUUUCUCUCAGCCCUAAAUCUCUGACACAAAGAUCCCAUUUGUAGUUUUCGAAUUGAAGCCAGCAGAAGACAAGAGUAAUGUCAGUUUUUAUAAUUUGUUGCUUAGCAGCACUGAUCAACAGAAGUACAACCUUUUUCUGUAACUUUGGUGAACCCGGGCUGGGACAGAGUUCAUCAGCAGAAGACAAGGAUUCCUAAAGUUGUGUGAAACUGUUGUUCAGUGUCUGUUAGCAGCACCUGUAGCAAACUGUCUUCUUGACCCCUUCACUACCUUUGCCCUUUAAUCUUCUUUCUUUCUCUCAUCAGGUCUUAGAAGGAAACAGGCACCAUCCUAGGGGUGUGUGGAUGGAAAGGUUAGAGACAAGGCAACUGUGCCGAGAUGUAUUCUGCUGCUUAUGGGGAAAAGUUGUUGAGCUGGUUCCCAGGCUGUGAUGUCAGACUUUCCUCUCAUGGCAGGAGAAACAGACUUUAGCUACCACUGUAAAGAUUAUUCUUAUUUAGAGAAGCGUUUCCAGUAUUUUGGAAAUUUGAUUAUAAUAUUAUUUUGGAAAUAUUAUUAGGCAAAAUAAUCUGUAGGGGAAAGGGAAAUUAGGGUGCUAAGAUUUCCCUUUACGUCUUUUAAGAGGGAUUUUUCAAACUGAAUUAGAAGGCGUAUUGAAUGUGAUUGAAAAUUAUUAGGGAUCUGCAGUGAAUGUAGCUACAAAGACAAUUCCCUUCUCUCUCUUCCGCUUCCCCCUUCUCUUCUAUCUGAUCAAAUCUGCAAGGCCUGUAAAAUAAGUGCAAAGAGUAAGUUGCUUGUUUCACCUUACUUCUAAACUGUUAGUUGUUAGUCUAACCAGACAAAGGAUCUUUGGUAACAUCACAAACUGCAUCAAUAUGCCUUAUAAUGCCAGAAGCUUAGACUAGGAGUAAAGCUCCUAGUUACUGAGCUCGUUGUCUUUUUACUUCUAGAUCAAAGUAAGAAACAGCUGAGUAUUUGUAUACUUUCUCUGCCAAAAAUGUUACAAUCCUGAGACAUCCAUAAAGGUGUGGAAAAUAAUGCCUUGUCAGUCUGCUGUUUUUCUCCUUCCUCCCCUCUUGCCUCCACUGCUGACUUCUCCUCUCUAUCCACACUUAAAGAUUUGUUGAUAGCUGUUAACAGCAGUAUGAGUCAACAUAUUAAAAGGUCAGCAUAUGUGUGACGAGUUAUGCUCUCGUGUCCCUUCUCUUCUGAAGUUUAAAAACAAACUCUGCUGUUCAGCUAUCCUGGUCUCAAAAAGUUAGUGGAGAGGACUAACAUUGUGGUAAUUGCAAAAUUGAGAUCCGAAUAGUCAUUCCAGAAAAGGCAGCGACACAGAAGACUGGUUUCUGUCCUAUGUGUCAUGUCAAAAGCAUGGCAAGUUUAUAUCUGGCAGAGCUCAAUCAGGUAAAAUAAACAGCAAACUGGAAUGGGAAUUACAUAACAAAUACUACUAUUAUUUUUUUUUUCAAUUGCACAAAUCUUAACAAAGCGAUCUAUCUAGAAGUCUUGACUGCUUCCUGAGACUAAGGAGAAUGAUUUUCCAUGCGCUUGCUUGCUGAACAAAGCAAAUUUUGUUACCAAAACAGGAUUUCUUUUUUUUUGAGCUGUAAAUACAAUUUGUCUUCCCAGUGAACAACAGCUGCUAAUAUUUGAUACCUACAGGGUUCAAACCAAGCAGAUGAAGCCACGUCCUUAACUUCUGGUUUACAGGAGAAGGAGGGAACUUAAGUCAAAAUCAAUAAGCUUUUAAAACCAGUUUCAGUAAAACCAAAAAACUUUUUUUGUUAUUUGUCAGUGGUGUGAUGCAGAAUACCUGACUGUGCAGUGGCAAUUGGACAUGAGUAGUUUUGAAAAGGAAUGUUUUAAACUUUUGCUAAUUAAGAUAAUGUUAUCUUUCACCUUUCUUUUUAGUUAUCCAUUAAAAUGUGGCAUUCUGUUAUAAGCAAAAAAGCGUUUUUAUCGUGGGACUCUUUAGUGCUGUCAUUUCCACAUCUGCAACAACCAGGCAGAACAUGCCCACUGUGCAGCACUAGCACAACUAAAAGCCACUGAAUGUUUUAUUUCUGAACCAAGAUUAGUCAGUUAUUUUGAAUUGUGAUGUGUUAAAUAGGGAAGCCUUAGUUUUGUGUCUGCAGGAUGCAUGUGGCUUUCAGUUCAGCUACAGAUACUGCUGCACACACCCGUUCCCAACACACACAAUUCCUUGCUGUGCACUUGCUUAUAUUAAGAGUGCUACUGUUUCUCCAUACCCUGGCAUCGGGAAAGGAUGGUAUUUGAGCAUGUGCCCAAGGAUGAUUGAAUAGUGGUCCUAGAAUACAGGCUGCCUGAGUUUGUUCCCAUUAGGUGAGCCAGUUUUCCAGUUUGGGGGCAGUAAAUUUCCUAUGCAACGAGACAGGAAAUUUCAGGGGGAAACUGGAAUAAUUAAAAUAAUCUUGUUUGGUCCAUUGCCAUCUCUUUCAUCUUAGAAAACAUUGCUCUGGAGACACACACAGAUCCUGUAAAUGAGUCUAGUCUGGAUAGCUCUCAUCUAACACUUUGAACGCGUAGUCCUUAGUGAGCUUUAAAAGUGCAAGGACAUUUCUGUGGGACAGUUUGGAUGGUUUUGGUUUAAUAAUUUUUUUUCCUUCGUUGGCUGCUGGUUGAGAUUAAGGCUGAACUAAGUGGAUCCUCAGGUUAGCGUGGCAUUUCUUCACGUAGAUUGCAUCACAAAAUCACCCCAAAAGAAAAGAUUUUUGUAAACAAUACUCAUAUAACUUAUGAAGAAAAAUAAGCAUUGCAAAUUUGAAAUAGAAAUUUAAAUAUUGCACAAGAUGGAUGGAAUUAAGUCUACUCUUUUUUUUUUUCAGUUUCUAAAUCUAAAAGCUGUAACAUUUUCUCUCCUCCUUAAUCCUGCUUCAUCUAGAGCGUUUGUAGCAAACCGUCUUGUUUGCAUGCCAAGAAAUUGCAACGGAGACAAACAAAUGACUACAAAUGACAAAGUAUGUCAAACUGCUCUCUGUUCCUUCAGAAGUGUACUGGACUACUCAGAACCAGGGGAAAUGUGCUAAAGAAAACAGAAAGAAGUCUUCAGAAAGUCCCCUUGCGUUACUGGGCCUGUGAUGAGAAGAUUUGAGGGACUUAGCAGCAUUACAGUAGAAGCAGGAUAAUUGAUUUGAGUUUGUUAUGACACUGCAACUUGUUACAAGUGGACCACCCUCUGCCAGAAUAGAGCGAGAGAAGACAAGAUAUUGUGGAAGAGGAGAGGAAGACCACCUCUUCUUGAUCAUGGCUUACCACCCCUAUGUCAAAGCCAGAGACGCCUUCCCUUCACCUAACUAGUCAUUACCAAAAGGAGGAGCAGUGGAUUCAACACACGAGCUGUUAACAGCACCAUGAACUCUAACAAGGUACUAAUAGAGACCCUGCAAAUUAGUAUCCACACCCUGGUAGAAAUAACCAUAAGAAUUUUUCAGUUGCUUAGACCUUAACACUGCCCUAAUGGAGGUCAAAGGGCGAUCCACUUGUAUUUAAUGUUAACAUUAAUUUAUCUGAAGAUAAUUUUUAUCUAAUGAGUACCCAUUUUUGUUUUGUUUCCUUGUUUAGUGUUUAACUUUGGUUUUGGAUGUUCAGUAUCUUUUCUUGUUCAUUGGAGCCACUAAUAUCUUUGCCUGUUAGAAUUUGUCUGUUCUUAAGAGUUUCCUUCUUUAGCCUCUUCUGUGCAUUUUAAUUAUUUCAUUGAUCUUCAGUGAAAAUAAAAAGCUUUUUCUAAAAUGCUGACUAAGCACAUACAGGGUGUUUUUACAAUAAAAAAAGAUUUCCACUACAAUCUUCUAAUGCACAGUGUU